UCCGGUUCAUCACCAGCAGUCUCCUUAGAGUCCCCAACUUAAUGAUGGUAACUAAGGACAAGGGUUGCGCUCGUUACGGGACUUAACCCAACAUCUCACAACACGAGCUGACGACAGCCAUGCAGCACCUGUCUCUACGUUCCUUUCGGCACAACCAAAUCUCUUCGGUCUUCGUAGGAUGUCAAGGGUAGGUAAGGUUCUUCGCGUUGCAUCGAAUUAAACCACAUGCUCCACCGCUUGUGCGGGCCCCCGUCAAUUCCUUUGAGUUUUAACCUUGCGGUCGUACUCCCCAGGCGGAGAACUUAUCGCGUUAGCUUCGAUACUAACAGGUCAAGCCUGCCAACAUCUAGUUCUCAUCGUUUACAGCGUGGACUAC
rnacentral:misc_RNA from 1 species